rnacentral:rRNA from 1 species
AUUGAACGCUGGCGGAAUGCUUUACACAUGCAAGUCGAACGGUAGAGGGGGCAACCCCUUGAGAGUGGCGAACGGGUGAGUAAUAUAUCGGAACGUGCCCAGUCGUGGGGAUAACGUAGCGAAAGUUACGCUAAUACCGCAUACGAUCUACGGAUGAAAGCGGGGGACUCGCAAGAGCCUCGCGCGAUUGGAGCGGCCGAUAUCAGAUUAGGUAGUUGGUGGGGUAAAGGCUCACCAAGCCAACGAUCUGUAGCUGGUCUGAGAGGACGACCAGCCACACUGGAACUGAGACACGGUCCAGACUCCUACGGGAGGCAGCAGUGGGGAAUUUUGGACAAUGGACGCAAGCCUGAUCCAGCAAUGCCGCGUGCAGGAUGAAGGCCUCGGUUGUAACUAGUCUUUGUUACGGAACGAAACGGUAGAGCUCUAAUAC